UACCUCGUCAACCAUCAGAGCGAAGGUCCAAAAAAAAGCAGGGUGGUUGUGGCCAAAUAAAAGCAGGAGGGAGGGUGGAGGGUGCAGGCAAAAAAAGCGACCAAAAAAGCAGUGGAGGGUGUGGGGUGCGGCGUUUUUUAGUCGGACAGCUAGGAUAGGGGCUAGAGGUAGUAGAGCUAUCAAGAAAGCAACGGCGGCGGCGGCAUGCUCCCCUCUGGGGCGGCGGCGGCUCCCCUCCCCUGCUUUGGCGGCUCCCCUCUACGGCGGCGGAGGCAGGCUCCCCUCUUCGUCCCCUCUUCGACAGCAGGCUCCCCUCUGGGACGGCGGCGCCUAGGUCCCGUCCCGCCGAACUUAGGGACAGGGGCUCCAGCGGGGGCGGCUAGAGGACCUCUGCCGCAGUGGUCCCCGAGGCUCUGGUCCGGCUCUAGGGGACAUCGGACCCUCCUCAAGUCACUGGGCAGGCUUCGCCUCGAGCAGACGCUGGUGUGCGAGACCCGCCAGGACGUCCUCCGGAAGCUGACAUCGUUGCACCUGUAGAUGCCCUCCGACCGCUAACCCUUUAGAUGGCGUAAUAAGAACACACUUCUCACCUGACGGUGUGGACAAACGCUUCGGGAACCACUGUAACGACUACAUAGACACCGUCAUGAUCGAUAAACAAGACCCCAGUUUCCUAAUACAUUACCACGUUCCAGUCUACUCUUCGUCGUUUACUUUCGUGAAGAACUUUUACAACCUAGAAGUUACACAAGCCUGGUGACACUAACCAAACCUUUGUCACCAGAACUCCGAGACAGAGCUUUACAACUAUGUAAUGGGCAGUAGGUAAAAGACGUUCACGCAGGUUGCUUGAUACUUUAAUUCUUUAAUGUCCUCUACAAAGUAGACCACUUCGUCUUUUUAAAGGGACGUCGAAAGUCUACAAUGACCUUAUUAGUUUUUAAACUAAGAGAAAGUUUACUAAUGAACAUAAUGUUCUACGAAUAGGUACCCGUGUCACUAAGACGAAAACCUGUAAACGUCGUUCUCUACUUAAAUAAUUGAGAUUACCUAGGGGGUAAAAGGAAAGAUCCUUUUUAGUUCUCAAUACCGAUGAUAUGUCUCCCGACGUGAAAAAGGUACCACCUCGUUCGUGCGUACAACCUUCUACUCCUUAUGCUCAAAAACGUGCACUGUAUAAGCUACUUUACGUCACGUCUAGUGUGAAGUCGGCGAGGUUAGUUGUGGUGGUGUAAGAUGUAUAAGUAAGGUCAAUCUCGGGAGUAACUUUCAGAUUUUCUCUCAGUAACGGGACGAAGUCUCGACCAUAAAGUUCGUUGGCUUUAUACCUAAAAACCACUCGACGUGUACGAGAACAACUCAACCAAGAAACCGUCACGUGAUAGUGGAGGACGCUAUCGACUCUUGGCAAAAUGUACAGUUAGUAUGUAUCUUGUCCUAUAGUAGGCAGCGCCCUCCCUUCAACCUCUACUACCUAGGCCCCUCUACGUCGUCGACGACCGUCCCCGUGGCGAUAAGUGCACACACAAACAACGGCGAAGAGUGCACAUC
rnacentral:rRNA from 1 species